UCUUAUAUGGAGAGUUUGAUCCUGGCUCAGGACGAACGCUGGCGGCGUGCCUAAUACAUGCAA
rnacentral:rRNA from 1 species